UUCUAUGGCGACUGUGUGCGGGGCACCUGUGGGUGCGCCGGGAUGAGUGUGACCGGUCUGCUAACCCGCAUGCAGUUGCCACCCGA
rnacentral:antisense_RNA from 1 species